rnacentral:rRNA from 1 species
ACUCCUACGGGAGGCAGCAGUAGGGAAUUUUCCGCAAUGGACGAAAGUCUGACGGAGCAAUGCCGCGUGAGUGAUGAAGGUUUUCGAAUCGUAAAGCUCUGUUGUAAGGGAAGAAUAGCAAGAUAGGUAAAAUGAUUCUUGUCUGACUGGAUACCUUACCAGAAAGCCACGGGCUAACUACGUGCCAGCAGCCGCGGUAAUACGUAGGUGGCAAGCGUUAUCCGGAAUUAUUGGGCGUAAAGCGCAUGUAGGCGGCUCUUUAAGUCUGAUGUGAAAGCCUGUGGCUCAACCACAGAAAUUGCAUUGGAUACUGGAGAGCUAGAAUCUUGGAGGAGGUAAGUGGAAUUUCAUGUGUAGCGGUGGAAUGCGUAGAUAUAUGAAGGAACACCAAUGGCGAAGGCAGCUUCACUGGACAAGUAUUGACGCUGAGAUGCGAAAGUGUGGUAGCAAACGGGAUUAGAUACCCUGGUAGGCUCUG